GGGCUCAAUCAGUAGGUGUUUGCUAUGGAAUGCUAGGCAACAACUUGCCACCAGCAUCACAUGUUGUACAACUCUACAAGUCAAGAAACAUAAGAAGAAUGAGACCUUAUGAUCCAAAUCAAGCAGCUCUACAAGCUUUAAGAGGCUCCAACAUUGAAGUUAUGGUAGGAGUUCCCAAUUCAGAUCUCCAAAAUUGCUGCUAACCCUUCAAAUGCAAAUAAUUGGGUACAGAGGAAUGUCAGAAAUUUCUGGCCAGCCGUUAAAUUUAGGUAUAUUGCCGUUGGAAAUGAAGUCAGCCCUGUAACAGGCACAUCUUCACUUACCCGAUAUCUUCUUCCGACCAUGAGGAACAUUCGGAAUGCAAUUUCUUCAGCUGGUUUGCGAAACAAUAUCAAAGUCUCAACUUCUGUAGACAUAACCUUGAUUGGGAAUUCUUUUCCACCAUCACAGGGUUCAUUUAGGAACGACGUUCGUUCGUUCAUUGAUCUGAUUAUUGGGUUUUAAAGAGGCAUAAAUUCGCCUUUGCUCGUAAAUGUUUAUCCUUAUUUUAGCUAUGCUGGUAAUCCGCGCGAUAUUUUUCUCCCCUAUGCUCUUUUCACUGCACCUAAUGUGGUGGUACAAGAUGGUUCACUUGGAUAUAGAAACUUAUUUGAUGCAAUGUUGGAUGCUGUGUAUGCUGCCCUGUCUCGAGCCGGAGGGGGCUCGAUAGAGAUAACAGUGUCCGAGAGUGGCUGGCCGUCUGCUGGCGCAUUUGCAGCGACAACAAACAAUGCAGCAACUUACUACAAGAACUUAAUUCAGCAUGUUAAAAGGGGUAGUCCAAGAAGGCCUAAUAGAGUUGAGACCUAUUUAUUUGCCAUGUUUGAUGAGAAUAACAAGAACCCUGAAUUGGAGAAACAUUUUGGAUUGUUUUCAGAUAGAUUUUGGGACAUUUCUGCUGAAAAUAAUACUACUGCAGCUUCUCUCACAAGUGAGAUGUGAUAAGAGAGUACUCUUAAAAUAUCCUUAAAUGAGUAAUACAUGGAUGGAAAACUUAGUACCAAUAACAAGAUAGUUUGUUCUCUAUGCAAUUUUCUUGUAAUGAGACACUAGUACUUGCUCUCUGUUAGUCAUCAUGGAUUGUUAACUAGAGACAAAUUAAGCAAAUAUCAUAAACAAUUGAGUGCUGAUUCUGCAAUGAUAAAUGGAAAUUAAUAGUGGUGUUUUUUACUUCCUGAUCUUGAGAUGUU